UACGUAGGGUGCGAGCGUUGUCCGGAAUUAUUGGGCGUAAAGAGCUCGUAGGCGGUGUGUCGCGUCGGCCGUGAAAACCUGCAGCUUAACUGUGGGCUUGCGGUCGAUACGGGCAUCACUGGAGUUCGGCAGGGGAGACUGGAAUUCCUGGUGUAGCGGUGAAAUGCGCAGAUAUCAGGAGGAAUACCGAUGGCGAAGGCAGGUCCCUGGGCCAAUACUGACGCUCAUGCACGAAAGCGUGGGGAGCAAACAGG
rnacentral:rRNA from 1 species